ACGUUAUAGCGGAAGUCGAGAUGCUGCACCUCGCGUCCGGCCUCGACCACGUCCUCGGAUUUGGCACGCGGCAGCGUAAUGGAGAAGGUCGAGCCGCGGCCCAGGCGCGAAUUGAGCUGGAUGUCGUGGCCGAGCUCGGUGGCGAAGCGGUGCACGAUGGAUAAGCCGAGCCCGAACCCGGCCUGAUCGCCGUCGCUGGAUUCGCCGCGCUGAAACUCCACGAAAAUCGCCUGUUGCUGCGCCUCGGGAAUUCCCGGUCCGGUGUCGUGCACCUGGAUGCACAGCCGGUCGCCCCUCGGCCUGCAUCCCAUCAAGACGCCGCCCUUCUGCGUAUAGCGCAGCGCGUUGGAUAGCAGAUUUUGCAGGAUGCGGCGCAUCAUCAGCGGAUCGGACACCACCGCGUAGGGCGAGGGCAGGAUGCGCAGCGCG
rnacentral:misc_RNA from 1 species